UACAGAGGUCUCAAGCGUUGUUCGGAUUCAUUGGGCGUAAAGGGUGCGUAGGCGGCGCGGUAAGUCGGGUGUGAAAUCUCGGAGCUUAACUCCGAAACUGCAUUCGAUACUGCCGUGCUCGAGGACUGGAGAGGAGACUGGAAUUUACGGUGUAGCGGUGAAAUGCGUAGAUAUCGUAAGGAAGACCAGUGGCGAAGGCGGGUCUCUGGACAGUUCCUGACGCUGAGGCACGAAGGCCAGGGGAGCAAACAGG
rnacentral:rRNA from 1 species